CCUACGAGUAGCAGCAGUGGGGAAUAUUGGGCAAUGGGCGCAAGCCUGACCCAGCAACGCCGCGUGAAGGAAGAAGGCUUUCGGGUUGUAAACUUCUUUUAAGCGGGAAGAGAAGAAGACGGUACCUCUUGAAUAAGCCACGGCUAACUACGUGCCAGCAGCCGCGGUAAUACGUAGGUGGCAAGCGUUGUCCGGAUUUACUGGGUGUAAAGGGCGUGCAGCCGGGCUGACAAGUCAGAUGUGAAAUCCCGCGGCUCAACCGCGGAACUGCAUUGGAAACUGUCAGUCUUGAGGACCGGAGAGUUCAGCGGAAUUCCUGGGGUAGCGGUGAAAUGCGUAGAUAUAAGGAAGAACACCAGUGGCGAAGGCGGAUGACUGGCCGGCAACUGACGGUGAGGCGCGAAAGCGUGGGGAGCAAACAGGAUUAGAUACCCCAGUAGUC
rnacentral:rRNA from 1 species